CCCUCCAGAGCCACAUCGUCGCGGUCGAAAUAGAAGCCCUGCGGGAAGAGAUGGCGGGAACAAUGGUUAGCAGGAGGCGAGGCCAGGCAUGCGGACUCCGCCUCCGACUAUCCAACAGGACAAAGAAGGCCAGCGCGUGCGCAGAGGGCCGGAGGAUCACUCACUUCAGAGGAAGCAGCUGCCACAUUGUGAGGACACUCAAGCAGUCAUCCGCUGGAGAAACACACAUGUCGAGGAACCAAGUCCUCCAGCCCCAGUCAAGCCUUCAGGUGACAGCUGUCCCCACCAACAUCCUGACUGCAACCUCGUGAGAGAUCCUAAGCCAGAACCCCACAGCUCAGCCAUUCAUUGAUUUCCAACCCUCAGAAAUUGUGUGAGACAAUAAACGUUUAUUGUUGCUUUAAA